UACGAAGGGUGCAAGCGUUAAUCGGAAUUACUGGGCGUAAAGCGCGCGUAGGUGGUUCGUUAAGAUAGGAGUGAAAGCCCCGGGCUCAACCUGGGAAUUGCUUCUAAAACUGGCGAGCUAGAGUAUGGUAGAGGGUGGUGGAAUUUCCUGUGUAGCGGUGAAAUGCGUAGAUAUAGGAAGGAACAUCAGUGGCGAAGGCGACCACCUGGACUGAUACUGACACUGAGGUGCGAAAGCGUGGGGAGCAAAUAGGAUUAGAUACCCUGGUAGU
rnacentral:rRNA from 1 species